rnacentral:rRNA from 1 species
UACGUAGGGUCCGAGCGUUGUCCGGAAUUAUUGGGCGUAAAGAGCGCGUAGGUGGUUUGUCGCGUUGUUCGUGAAAACUCACAGCUCAACUGUGGGCGUGCGGGCGAUACGGGCAGACUUGAGUACUGCAGGGGAGACUGGAAUUCCUGGUGUAGCGGUGAAAUGCGCAGAUAUCAGGAGGAACACCGGUGGCGAAGGCGGGUCUCUGGGCCGAAACUGACGCUGAGGAGCGAAAGCGUGGGGAGCAAACAGG